rnacentral:other from 1 species
UAUUGUCUAGAGAUAACGAUUGCUCUAGUUUGAAAAAACCGACUAAUUAACGAACAUUGGGAAUCUAAUUCAUUAAUGGUGUUGAAUGCUCAAGAUUUUUGAGAAUCCUAAAAUUAAUGAUGUGAUGCCCACCUGGUAGAUACUAGGUUUUAUCGUUAGGAGCCCGUAUUUCUGGACUUUUU